rnacentral:rRNA from 1 species
UACGGAGGGAGCUAGCGUUGUUCGGAAUUACUGGGCGUAAAGCGCGCGUAGGCGGUUUUUCAAGUCAGUGGUGAAAGCCCGGGGCUCAACCCCGGAAUAGCCUUUGAAACUGGAAAACUAGAAUCUUGGAGAGGUCAGUGGAAUUCCGAGUGUAGAGGUGAAAUUCGUAGAUAUUGGGAAGAACACCGGUGGCGAAGGCGGCUCACUGGCCCGUAACUGACGCUCAGGCGCGAUAGCGUGGGGAUCAAACAGG